rnacentral:rRNA from 1 species
CCUACGGGUGGCAGCAGUGGGGAAUAUUGGGCAAUGGGCGCAAGCCUGACCCAGCAACGCCGCGUGAAGGAAGAAGGCUUUCGGGUUGUAAACUUCUUUUCUCAGGGACGAAGCAAGUGACGGUACCUGAGGAAUAAGCCACGGCUAACUACGUGCCAGCAGCCGCGGUAAUACGUAGGGGGCAAGCGUUAUUCGGAUUUACUGGGUGUAAAGGGCGUGUAGGCGGGUAUGCAAGUCAGAGGUGAAAACCAUGGGCUCAACCUGUGGCCUGCAUUUGAAACUGUAGUUCUUGAGUGCUGGAGAGGCAGACGGAAUUCCUAGUGUAGCGGUGGAAUGCGUAGAUAUUAGGAGGAACACCAGUGGCGAAGGCGGUCUGCUGGACAGCAACUGACGCUGAGGCGCGAAAGCGUGGGGAGCAAACAGGAUUAGAUACCCGGGUAGUC